UCUUACGUCCCCAUGGCAACCAACUCCCGGAACAGCCGAUGAAGAGCUUUGCUUCCUCAAUGCUGGAGAGGGAUGGGGUGGAUUUGAGACAUAUCAGGUAGGAUGCAGUGGACACAGGAUAUGCAUAAGAAGGAGGCAGCCCCGGGAACAGUAUCAUCCUGAUUCCUGCAUCCCAGCUCCAUCCUGCCUGCUGGGCUGUCAGUGCCGUUGAGCCAGCACUCCUUGCUCCAACACAAGUUUAUUGGAAAUGUGCAUCCCAAACACUGCUAAAACACAAGGCUCUGCAUUUUGAAGAGGAAUGUUUUUGGCUAAAAAGGGCUUGGAACAAAUGCAAUCCAGAGGCUCCUGGCUCAGCAGGAGGGGAGUUUUCAGGCAAAUCACAAGAGAAAAACUAACGUUUGAGGAGGGUGAAGUCUGUGCAGGAUCUCCCUGAGCUGCAGCCAUGCACAGCACAGGAGGAUCCACUUCAAAGAAAGGAGCCACUUCAUUGAAAAAGAGAACUAGGGCUUUUGAUAUCAAGAUAAACAUCCUGAUACACAUCAAA